rnacentral:rRNA from 1 species
CUCUGUGACUCCUACGGGAGGCAGCAGUGGGAAUAUUGCACAUGGGGAAACCUGAUGCAGCCAUGCCGCGUGUGUGAAGAAGGCCUUCGGGUUGUUAAAGCACUUUCAGUAGGGAGGAAGGUAGUGUAGUUAACACCUGCAUUAUUUGACGUUACCUACAGAAGAAGCACCGGCUAACUCCGUGCCAGCAGCCGCGGUAAUACGGAGGGUGCGAGCGUUAAUCGGAAUUACUGGGCGUAAAGCGCAUGCAGGCGGCCUGUUAAGUCAGAUGUGAAAGCCCGGGGCUUAACCUCGGAAUUGCAUUUGAAACUGGCAGGCUAGAGUCUUGUAGAGGGGGUAGAAUUUCAGGUGUAGCGGUGAAAUGCGUAGAGAUCUGAAGGAAUACCAGUGGCGAAGGCGGCCCCCUGGACAAAGACUGACGCUCAGAUGCGAAAGCGUGGGGAGCAAACAGGAUUAGAUACCCUGGUAG